CCUACGGGCGGCAGCAGUGGGGAAUAUUGGACAAUGGGGGGAACCCUGAUCCAGCCAUGCCGCGUGUGUGAAGAAGGCCCUCGGGUUGUAAAGCACUUUCAGUGAGGAAGAACGCCUGGUGGUUAAUACCCAUCAGGAAAGACAUCACUCACAGAAGAAGCACCGGCUAACUCCGUGCCAGCAGCCGCGGUAAUACGGAGGGUGCGAGCGUUAAUCGGAAUUACUGGGCGUAAAGCGCGUGUAGGUGGCUUGAUAAGCCGGUUGUGAAAGCCCCGGGCUCAACCUGGGAACGGCAUCCGGAACUGUCAAGCUAGAGUGCAGGAGAGGAAGGUAGAAUUCCCGGUGUAGCGGUGAAAUGCGUAGAGAUCGGGAGGAAUACCAGUGGCGAAGGCGGCCUUCUGGACUGACACUGACACUGAGGUGCGAAAGCGUGGGUAGCAAACAGGAUUAGAUACCCGAGUAGUC
rnacentral:rRNA from 1 species